rnacentral:rRNA from 1 species
AUUGAACGCUGGCGGAAUGCUUUACACAUGCAAGUCGAACGGCAGCACGGGGCAACCUGGUGGCGAGUGGCGAACGGGUGAGUAAUACAUCGGAACGUGCCCAAUCGUGGGGGAUAACGUAGCGAAAGUUACGCUAAUACCGCAUAAGAUCUACGGAUGAAAGCGGGGGAUCGCAAGACCUCGCGCGAAUGGAGCGGCCGAUGUCAGAUUAGGUAGUUGGUGGGGUAGAGGCUCACCAAGCCGACGAUCUGUAGCUGGUCUGAGAGGACGACCAGCCACACUGGGACUGAGACAUGGCCCGGACUCCUACGGGAGGCAGCAGUGGGGAACUUUGGACAAUGGGCGAAAGCCUGAUCCAGCAAUUCCGCGUGCAGGAUGAAGGCCUUCGGGUUGUAAACUGCUUUUGUACGGAACGAAACGGUCCUUUCUAAUACAAGGGGCUAAUGACGGUACCGUAAGAAUAAGCACCGGCUAACUACGUGCCAGCCGCCACCGUAA